UGAGGAAUUUUGCGCAAUGGGAGCAAUCCUGACGCAGCAACGCCGCGUGGGUGAAGAAGGCCUUCGGGUCGUAAAGCCCUGUCAGGUGGGAAGAAGGGUCCUAUCAGGAAAGGGGUGGGAUUUGACGGUACCACCAGAGGAAGCACCGGCUAACUCCGUGCCAGCAGCCGCGGUAAUACGGAGGGUGCGAGCGUUAUUCGGAAUUACUGGGCGUAAAGCGCGUGUAGGCGGGGGAGCAAGUCUGAUGUGAAAGCCCCGGGCUUAACCCGGGAAGUGCAUUGGAAACUGUUUUUCUUGAGUACUGGAGAGGAAGGAGGAAUUCCCGGUGUAGAGAUGAAAUUCGUAGAGAUCGGGAGGAAUACCAGUGUCGCAGGCUCCCUUCUGGACGGUUACUGACGCUGAGACGCGAAAGCGUGGGGAGCA
rnacentral:rRNA from 1 species